GGCCGCCUGGCAAAAUGGCAUGGCGUCUGACUAUAACUUGCUUAUGUAAUUUCGUAAUCAGGAGAUUUCAGGUUCAACCUCUGAGGUGGUCA